ACCAGGACUGGGCCUCUGAGGUCAGAGGGCACCCUUCCCCCAUGCUGAGGCCCUGGUCCAGUGGCCCUGCCUUCCAGGUCUGUAAUCCCACCCACCACGACCACCAACAUUACCACCACACUGAGAGGCACUAGCAGGCCUGCCCGACACUCUUUCCCUGUUGCACUACUGUGGGCCACUGGGAAGCAGUGCAAUGAUGAAAGGGCAUCGGUCAGGCGCUGCCCGCUGUCCACAGUGCUUGGGGGAAGAGGGUUGCUGCCUUACUCCACUUCCUUGCAAUGAAAGCUGAGAUCCCCAGAGGGUUGCCCAUCCACUCAUGACCGGACAAGUGAAGGCAGAGCCUCCAGAUUCAGAAAGGCUGUGGUUUGUAGAUCUUUCCCCAUGGGCAUCCCAGGUAAACUAGAGAUUCCAGGGCUUUUGGAGAAAUAGAGGCCCACUGCUUUGCCUGGAGGGGCUUCCCAUACCUGGACUCAGCUUUCCCUGAAGACUUGAAGAGGGCCAGGCUCAGGAGAGAAUGUUGGUCCAGAAGUGGACCCUUCCAGAAGGCAGCCUCACGCCCAUGCGUCAGGCGCCAUGGGGCUCAGUGGGAGCAGAACUGCAGGGCCAUCUUUAUCAUCAGGACCUGACACAAUGUGCCCAGUGACAGUUUCUUCAAGACUGUCUUCUUGAGAGGAAGCUCAGUUCUUCAGUCAGGCUUUUGGAUGUACUGUUCACGCCUGAACACUGGCUUCAAUCCUACCCUGUGGUCUAAGCCCUGGCAUUCAUGGUGGUGGGGGUGGAGGGUGGAGGGGCAGUCAAUGGCACAUGCUCCUCUGUAUCCUAGUCCUAGCCCCUUGAGGCUCCUUGAUCCCUGGGCCACCUAAGGCCCACCAUCCUUCUCUGGACUCCUUGGCAUUGAAUGUUCUUCCAGCAGAGCCUGUUUUCUCCCAGUGCCUGGAGUCCCCAUUGUGAGGGCUGAGGCCAUGUGGAAUUUUUGUGGUUGUUUGUCUUGUUUUUCUGUUUGUUUUAAAUUUCUCUUGACUGAUUCUGGCCCAGAGGAGGACCCUAUAUAUAUAUAUAUUUUUUUUUUUUUCACCCAGUAUAUUUUUUUAAAAAUACAAAUAAAUGUAUAAAAUGUGAACCUUGGUUAUUAGCAUAAUAUGGUGGGGAUAAUUUUGGUCUAAUUGCCCCUGAGAUAGUACUCGUCCUCUUUGAAAAAGGGCGCAUCAUAUGUAUUUUAAAGUACAGGUUCAUUUUGUAAGUCAGGCAGGGAGCAGAAUGGGGACUGGAGCCCAGGUGUAUCUGAGUCUCCGGCUGCACCCUUAGGCCAGAUGCACAGAGCAGAUCCUGUCCCUUUAGUUGUCUCCAUCUUGCUCCCAGACCUCCUGACAGGAGAAAGUGCCUGCCACCUCCUUUGUUCGGGGAAAGGUGGCACCAGAGGUCUGGUGGAUUGGCUGUAAGAAGCGAAAACUCUGGUUAGACUUCUCAUAUAUACUCCAUGGGUCCCAGGGCUGAUGGAGGGUGUGGAGGGGACAGAGAAGAAACCCCCUAUCCUUAGUGGCCAGUGUAGGUAGGGUCAGCUGCUGACCAAGUAGAGGGGAAAGGCACAUUUCAGGGAGAAGCUGUGCACAAAUCUGGAUGUAUUCAAUAGGAGAUGCCCAAGAAUCGUCCUUAAUGGCCUUUUAAAUGUGGGUCUGGAGCUCAAGGGAAGUCUAAGCCUGAGAUGAAGAUAGACGAUGUGGCUGAGUCCAUAAACUAUUUGGGUGGCUGUGGCAGGAGGAUCAGUCUGGGCCAUUUAGCGACUCUGUGCCUCAAAAUGACAAAGGGCCGAGUAUGUGGAGCUCAGAGGUGGAGCUCUUGCCUGGGUACAAUCCACUGCACCAAAAGAGCAGAGGAAGAACAAGAAAAAGAUUUGGAUUUUUUAUUCUGGUUCUAACCCGGACCCAGAAGUGGUAAGGACAGGACCUUCAAAAACGCACUGGAGCCGGGGAUUUAGCUCAGUGGUUCCGGCGCCUGCCUCGUAAGCGCAAGGUCCCGAGUUCGAUCCCCGGGGCCAAAAAAAAAAAAAAAAAAAAAAAAAGCACUGGAGGGGCCAGAGGAAAAGACCACCAAGAAGGGGCUGCGGAAGCAAUGAAGAAAGGCAAUAGCAAGAAUAGAGCAAAGUGGCUGCGAAGGGGAACUGGACCCCCAGGACCUAGGAGGAGUGCGUGAUACGCUGGAGAGUUAAGUCCGGAAAGCGCGAGGAGGCAGGGGCGGAGUGAAGUCCUUGCAGGCAAUGUGUCUGUGAGGGAAGCGAUCGUCCUGGGAGGCUGAAGACUUCAGAGGUAGAGGGGCACUUUUCAAAGUAGGGAAACCUCGGAAUGGGGAGGGGACUGGAGGCCAAGCAAAGGGCGGGGCUUUUAAAAAGUUGGGAGAUGGGUCUGGCGAUGACCAGGGACUCCGUGGAGCUCAAAAGACUGCUUGCUACCCGCUCCCCCUUUCUUGAGAUCGCAACCGGGUGAAGCAGCAUCCGUCCCGCCGCGAAGACAUGAAAGCGCAGGCCCAGAGCGGUGGGCAUUGUCACGUGUGGCUCGUGCGCGGAAUUGGCCCCGCCCCCGGCCGCCUGCGGUUUUGGAUUGGCUGGUCCACCCGGAAGGGGGCUGCCGGUGGCGGCU
ensembl:lncRNA